GAUGAACGCUGGCGGCGUGCCUAAUACAUGCAAGUCGAGCGAACAGAUGAGGAGCUUGCUCCUCUGACGUUAGCGGCGGACGGGUGAGUAACACGUGGAUAACCUACCUAUAAGACUGGGAUAACUUCGGGAAACCGGAGCUAAUACCGGUUAAUAUAUUGAACCGCAUGGUUCAAUAGUGAAAGCCGGUUUUGCUGUCACUUAUAGAUGGAUCCGCGCCGCAUUAGCUAGUUGGUAAGGUAACGGCUUACCAAGGCAACGAUGGGUAGCCGACCGGGGAGGGGAUUAGGCAAAACUGAACCUGAGCAACGGUCAAGACUCUUACGGGAGGAAGAGGGAGGAAUACUGCAGAAAUGGGGGAAAGCAUAACGGAGCAAGGCCGGUGGAGUGAUGAGGGUCUUCGGAUCGUAAACAUCUGUUAUUAGGAAAGAACAAAUGAGUAAAUAACCAUGCUGGUCUGAACUGUACCUAAUAAGAAAGCCACGGCAAACUACGG
rnacentral:rRNA from 1 species